GACAGUUGGGAGCAGCUGGCCCUGGGCGAGCGUGUGAGCACUCGUCCUGGGCUCGGUGGAAUCCGGGCUCGAGCGCAGUCGGGGUUUCCUGGCACGGGGAGCGCAGCGCGCGCGCGCGCGGCUGGUUUCCUAUUUUCCACUUGGACACAGCGCUCGCUGCCCGCCCAGGCGGGGACAUCGCCGUCAACAGGGCAGGGCGGGGCGGCCGGAGGAGACCAGCUGCGACGUGGGACGACGUGGGACGGACGCUCCCGGGGACCUCAGCCAGCCAUGGAGACCCGGCGGGGGCUGCCCGGCCUGGUGCUGCUCCUGUGUCUGCUGCCGCGCGCCCCAGCUCAGGGAGAUUUUGACCUGGCGGACGCCCUGGAUGACCCAGAACCUACCCCGAAGCCAGGCUCAGAUAUCUACCCCAAGCCCAGGCCCCCUUUCGGCCCCCAGCCUGCAAACCCGGACAGCGGAGGCAAUAUCUACCCAAGGCCAAAACCCCAGCCUCGCCCACAGCCUGGGAGCUCCGAUAACAGCGGAGGAGGUAAGGACCUUGAGUCCCGUUCAGAUUCCGGAGGCGACUGAUCCGGGAGCACUUGAAACUCCAUACGCAGUGG
rnacentral:lncRNA from 1 species